CCUCUGCACUUCCGGGUGUGGGCUGAAGACUGUGACCAAAUCAAUCGUCACACCAACCUGAAGAGGAAGACCGGUUGGAUUUCAGAGCACGAAGACCAGUCUGGAAUGACCAUGGGUGUUGGAGCCCAUGGUGGGGACUGCACAGGUUGGCAGGGUCCAGAUGUAGCUACAGAAGCAUAAAGGAGACCUGAAAGAUCAGGAUUUGGGGAUGACAGGCAAACCAAUCCGUUCAGCCCACCAGCCAGGUUGGUUUUGCCAAGGCCAAGGUCUACACCAGCGCUCCCUCCAGAAACAGAAUAUUAAAAGAAGAAUUAAAAGACGACUAGUCUUCCACCCCCACGACUCCUUUAGCAAUCCUGCAGGCAGAUCAGACGGGCAGGAUAACACCUGGAGAGAGAGUUACACACGACGGAGAAGAACACGCAACCCAACCUCCUGCCUCCAUGAUUCACUGAGCUUCUUCCCACUUUUCCCCUUUACGAACUGUCAGGGCUGAGCAGACAGUUUGGAGCUGGUCUCUAGACAUGAGUCCACCUUCUCAUGAAUCCACCAGACUGCCAGCUUUUCUGAUUAAAACAUACUUCCUUUCUACUUGCCUCUUGAUAAUUGACUUUUGAGCAGUGAGCAGCCAACCCUGAGUUUGGUAACAGCUUUUAGCCUAUGAGAAAUGAGCCUUGAGAGUCAGAGGGCAUGUUAAUAGAGGCAGUUAGCAGAGGAGCUGGGGGGCCCCUGGGUCUCUAGGCAUGAGCAGCUUCACAAGCACAUUGCAAAGAGCCUCUUCUAGCAAAAUGAUUUCAUCUGCUAUUCAAAUUGCUGUUAACUUGAGUGUUACUGGGUUUGUGAUUUUGUUUGUAUUGAUCUUCUAAAAUUGUUUUGUCUUAAAAGUGUAUAAAACUGUGAGUGUGAAGCAUUUAUAUCUAGUUGUGUGUACACAUGUAUGUACAGAUAUAAGCAGUACAAUAAA